rnacentral:snRNA from 9 species
AUACUUAACUGGCGUGGGGGAUACCGUGAUCAUGCAGGCGGUUCCCCCAGGGCGAGGCUGCUCCAUUGCACUGCGGAGUGGUUGACAAUUGCGAUUAUUCUUAUCAAUAAAAAAAAUUAUAAUAAAAAAUGUAUACCCGAAUAAUUAUUUUCUUUAUAC